AUACAGAGGGUGCAAGCGUUAAUCGGAAUUACUGGGCGUAAAGCGCGCGUAGGCGGUUUGUUAAGUCGGAUGUGAAAUCCCUGGGCUCAACCUGGGAACUGCAUUCGAAACUGAUUGACUAGAGUAUGGUAGAGGGUGGUGGAAUUCCUAGUGUAGCGGUGAAAUGCGUAGAUAUUAGGGGGAACAUCAGUGGCGACGGCGACCACCUGGACCAAUACUGACGCUGAGGUGCGAAAGCGUGGGGAGCAAACAGGAUUAGAUACCCCAGUAGUCC
rnacentral:rRNA from 1 species